CACUGAUAAAAGUGAUAAUCUCGCAUGUGAGAUUAUCAUAAAUAAUCUCACAUGUGAGAUUAUCACUUUUCAAUUC